UUGACCGUGAAGUCCCACUCGCUCGCCUCGGGCGCCGCGAGCGCCCGGUCGCCGAAGUACCCGCCGUCGGCCAGCACACCGAGCACGGCCGGGUCGCCGUACUCGCCCUCACGUUCCUUGUGGACCUUGCCGUGGGCGAUCAGGACGACCUGAUCGGCCGGCUGCCCGGCCUCCACCAGCACCUCGCCGGGCCGGUACUCGCGCUGGGUGAAGCGGCCCGCCAGCUCCUCCAGCACCGCCGGGUCGGAGAAGCCGCGCAGCAGCGGCAGCUCGCCCAGCUCCGCGGGGAUGACCCGCACUUCCGCGCCGGUGGAGACGAACUCCACCCGGCCGUCGCCCAGUGUGUGUGUCAGCCGCCGGUUGACCCGGUACGUACCUCCGGGGACAUGGACCCACGACAGGAGACGCAGCAGCCACCGUGAGGAGAUGCCCUGCAUCUGGGGUACGGACUUUGUCGUGGUCGCCAGAUUCCGUGCGGCCGCGGUGCCCAGGCUCAGGGAGCCCGG
rnacentral:antisense_RNA from 1 species